GGAGAAGGACGUGCGCGGCUUCUUCCUCUUUGGGGGGGUCCGGUUUUGAUAGGGGUGGCCUAUGCGCCGCGUCCCGGAGAAGGGCGAGAGUGCAGCUACAGGGAGGAAGAAAAAACAGGGCAGGGUUUUCAGGGCGGCCCUUCCAGAUGUUCGAAGCCGGGCGCCAUCCCAGCAAAGGCCUCCAGACAAGAAAGGGCCUCGGAAGAAAUGGCCCUCCCCCUUGGGUGAGGAAGAGACAGCCCCCGGAACUUCACCCUGCCCUACCCGCAGUGUGGACAGUGGGCUGCAAAGGAGGGCGCGGACAUCGACGGCAGCUCCCUCCCCAUUGCCUCUCUGAGCAUCAGGACCAAGAGAAACAUGUUGGGGGAAGAUCCCCUGGGACGAUCCGGGCGGGGAGCGUACGGGGAACUUGAGUCGGAGCAGAAGGAUCAAAGAUGAGGAAAAGGGGUCAAUGUGGGGCUGGACGCUGGAGGGUCGGGCAAUCUCACCCGUGAGCCGGUCCUUGGCAAAGCGGCGGCCGCUGUCCAUCCAAGGGAAGGCCCCAAUUUUCGCCUCGCGAUGGGUCCUGCUUGCCGACUCCCAGAUUCGUUGUGGCCCCCGCCUAAGUGCCCUCGAAGACCAAAUCUCGUUGUGGCUUCCUGGCUUUGAUGGGAAGCGGUUGGGAACGGCGCCGGCGAUUUGGAGGCUCGGGAAGAGGACAGGUGUGGGAAGGCGGUGGCGGGGCGCGUCUGGUGGGCUAGGGCGGGGAGCAACCACUCCAGGCCAGCGACCCUGGUGCACCUCCCGGCCUCUGCCGUAGGGGCCCUACCUUCUUCCCCGAACCCCAGUAACCGGUGCCCUGUGUUUCUUAGAAUUUCGAUUUUCCGAAAUCGGUGUAAAGCGUACCAUUGGCUCAACCCAGGCUAAGUCAGGCGGAUGAAAGCCUGGGGGUGGCGUUCUGCCCCCCACAGGGGACCACCAACGUGGGACUCUGCCGCUCCACUCUACGCCUAGGAAGUCAAUUCUCAAACACUUCCCCCUCAAAGGCGAGAGGACAAAAUCGCCACAGGCGACACGUGGGUCCUUACUGAAGCCUUCGGCGGUCUCAGCCGCGUCAUUUUCCACAGGCCCUUCACCCACCCAACUCCAGAAACUGUGCCUGGAGUGUGUCAGGGACGGGAGGUGGGGAAAGACUGAAGGCGCUCUGUGACCUUGUGACCUCUGGCCGGGGACCCAGGAGCUGGGAGUGUGUGAACUCUGCGUCCUUCCCGGGAUGGGACCCGGGCCCGGCGGGCCCCUGCGCUUUAGACACGCCCCCGCCGCCGCCCGGCCCGGUGCAGGCCGCCAUAAUCGGGUUAGCUGGGUCGGAAUUACAUUACCUUCCCCGGCCCGCCCCGACCCCGGGGGGGCCCUGGCGCCUCCGAGCCGGUGAGACUGGGCGCAGGGAGGGGGGUUGUUCCUACCAUUCCGAGACGGGUGGGCACGGGUGAGCCGCUCGGCCUGCCUUGGACACGUGGUGGCCAAAGGACCCCACCCUGAUGUGUCAGCCCUUGCCCCUAGACCCCACCCCACUCUGGUGCUCAGCUCCAGUCGUCUUGUUACCCGUGUAAGCCGAAAUGCCUUCCAAGUCUAGUAGAUGGGUCUCCCUAGGUGCACGGAUCUUCCAGUUGAUUCUCCAGGAUCUCCUGGGAAAGACUGCCCCUCCUUUCUCACCAGCAGAUGGGCUGAAGCCCUGCGCCUGAGGCAGGGUGAGGGGGUCUUUUCUCUCCAGGGAACUGCAAGCGGUAUUUGGGCAUCUGGGCAGGAAGAUAAAAAAGCGAAGGGAAUGGACUCUCCCCACUAAAGCCACCACCCCCUCCUUCAAAGUUCUCAGAAGCCUCAGUCUGAAGGGGGUGAACCACGGAGGAGGGAGGCAGUCAGCAUCAGUAAUAUGUGACUUCCUUCCCCAAAUUCUCGUCCACUUCCACUAUCCAUUUUCCCCAGCCCUUUCUGACCCUGCAAAUAGCCCUUUCUUAAGGUGGGGCGGGGGGGAGGGGGGCUCCCACCAGUUUGGUAGCUGUGUUAUCUAGAUAGGCUGGUGGAAAAGACAGACAUUAUCACCUCCCCUAGUCCCUCACUGAAGCCCAAGCACCCUUUCUCAGCAGUAGAGAAGUGGGGCUACUAGGGGCCACGAAACUUCUGCUGUUCAGGCAGGGAAAACCUCCAGAGGCCAUUUGGGCUGGAUCCUCUGAAUGAGAACGGAGAGCCUAGGGAGACAGCAAAGUAAGUAAAGACGCUGGCCUGCAGGUUAAGAAUCUGUCAGUCCUUUUCUCCACUCCAGUGCGUGGACCUCUGAAGAAAGGCUGGGCUCUAGUGUGUCUGCAAUCAGGCUGAAUAAAUCCUUUUUGAAUGAAUCAGUGAGGAAGGAAGAACUGUAUUCCUGCUGACAGUUUACCCUGCCUUUUGAGGUCAGCCCUGAUGGCACUGCCAUCCAGAGAUCGCCCAGCUGACCCUUGGAGGAGAAUGGUCACAAACCCAGUAAUGUAUAUACAUCUUCUGGGGAGUUACAAAAAAAGAAAUGAGUGCCCUAUUUUU